AUUGAACGCUGGCGGCAGGCUUAACACAUGCAAGUCGAGCGGGGGGAGGUAGCUUGCUACCGGACCUAGCGGCGGACGGGUGAGUAAUGCUUAGGAAUCUGCCUAUUAGUGGGGGACAACAUCUCGAAGGGGAUGCUAAUACCGCAUACGUCCUACGGGAGAAAGCAGGGGAUUUUCGGACCUUGCGCUAAUAGAUGAGCCUAAGUCGGAUUAGCUAGUUGGUGGGGUAAAGGCCUACCAAGGCGACGAUCUGUAGCGGGUCUGAGAGGAUGAUCCGCCACACUGGGACUGAGACACGGCCCAGACUCCUACGGGAGGCAGCAGUGGGGAAUAUUGGACAAUGGGGGGAACCCUGAUCCAGCCAUGCCGCGUGUGUGAAGAAGGCCUUAUGGUUGUAAAGCACUUUAAGCGAGGAGGAGGCUACUUUAGUUAAUACCUAGAGAUAGUGGACGUUACUCGCAGAAUAAGCACCGGCUAACUCUGUGCCAGCCGCCGCAGUAA
rnacentral:rRNA from 1 species